rnacentral:rRNA from 1 species
GAUGAACGCUAGCGGCAGGCUUAACACAUGCAAGUCGAGGGGUAUAGUUCUUCGGAACUAGAGACCGGCGCACGGGUGCGUAACGCGUAUGCAAUCUACCUUUCACAAAGGGAUAGCCCCAGAGAAAUUUGGAUUAAUACCUUAUAGUAAUACGACUUGGCAUCAAGAUGUAUUUAAAGAUUUAUCGGUGAAAGAUGAGCAUGCGUCCCAUUAGCUUGUUGGUAAAGGUAACGGCUUACCAAGGCAACGAUGGGUAGGGGUCCUGAGAGGGAGAUCCCCCACACUGGUACUGAGACACGGACCAGACUCCUACGGGAGGCAGCAGUGAGGAAUAUUGGACAAUGGGCGCAAGCCUGAUCCAGCCAUGCCGCGUGCAGGAUGACGGUCCUAUGGAUUGUAAACUGCUUUUAUACAGGAAGAAACAACUCCGACGUGUCCGGAGCUUGACGGUACUAGUAGAAAUAA